rnacentral:sRNA from 1 species
GGUGUGAGCCACCACGCCCGGCUGCAGAUGGUGUUUCUUUAUCAAGCCUACUUACAGAAGAUAGAUUUCACUGUUUGAAUUUUUAGUAACAAUUUCCCCUUUCCCCCACCUUUGUUCAUUAUUAUUACUAUUAUUAUUAUUAUUAUUACUUACUGCCUUACAUGAAGGGUAGUAGUGUGUAGUUAAAAGCUACCAUCAGACUCCCUGGGUUCAAAUCCUAAUCGGCAAGUUACUUACAGUGUUAGACAUCCCAUGUGAAAUGGGACGAAUCAGUAUGUAGCUUGCGAGGUGCUCAGGAAAUGGCAGCUGUUAUAGUGACACCACGCCCCUUUCUCUUAAGUGGAAACAAAUACCCCUUGUGAUGUUUUAGAGUCAGCUUUCAUCUCGUCCUACCUUUGUUCAGGCAAACUUCUCUAGUUCUGUUUUAAUAGGCAUAUUUGUUAGGUCUGUUUUUUGAAAUCUUCUUUUUUACAUUGUUUAAAGAUAAUGCCUUGGCUAAAAAGCCUGCUUCACUUUUCCCUGUUUUUAGUUGUUUUCUCCACAUUGGCAGUAAAGAGCCUUGGUGUCCCAGCAGCAGCAGUUCUCCUUUUCCUAUUGUGGAUGUUUUGCGUUUCAUACUGUUUUGAAGGGUGGCUUUGAUCAUACAUGUUGUUGGUAUAUUUGCCUUUUUGCUGGGGGUGUGCGAAGAACCAGAAAUGAGCAGAGGCACACCCAGUAGACUUCCCAGCCUGCAGAGCCUCCCAGGGAGAGCUUCCGUGUUCAGGUGCUUGGGGCCCCACCCUGGGAGCCUGACUCACAGUCAGAGCAGGGUCCCGGCUCGUGUUCAGGAUUUUGAAACAUUUGUAAGGUGAUUUUGUUGUUUCUACACCUUUCUCCUCACCUUUUUUUUUGUAGUUAAUCGUUACUAAUAAUAGAAAAGACAUUUUUGGCAUGGUAAUUGGCACAAAGUGAAUAAUUGUUGAAUAGAUGACUUUUGAGGCUUUCAAAAUUCGAGUGUCCACAAAAUCCAGAGCCACCUGGUUCCUUUUUUUGAACCACUUAACGUAAUUCUGGAAAACCUUGACUGUGGGUCUUAAGUUUGGGGGAUUGCUGCUUCUCACUGGCUGACCUUUGGAGGUCGCAUAUUUCAGGAUGUGACUCCACUUAGGCUCCAUUUCACCUGACACUGCAAUUCUGUGCCUUCAGAGGGAUUUGUUAUUGCGAAUGAUGUGGACAACAAGCGCUGCUACCUGCUCGUCCAUCAAGCCAAGAGGCUGAGCAGCCCCUGCAUCAUGGUGGUCAACCAUGAUGCCUCCAGCAUACCCAGGCUCCAGAUAGAUGUGGACGGCAGGAAAGAGAUCCUCUUCUAUGAUCGAAUUUUAUGUGAUGUCCCUUGCAGUGGAGACGGCACUAUGAGAAAAAACAUUGAUGUUUGGAAAAAGUGGACCACCUUAAAUAGCUUGCAGCUACAUGGCUUACAGCUGCGGAUUGCAACACGCGGGGCUGAACAGCUGGCUGAAGGUGGAAGGAUGGUGUAUUCCACGUGUUCACUAAACCCUAUUGAGGAUGAAGCAGUCAUAGCAUCUUUACUGGAAAAAAGUGAAGGUGCUUUGGAGCUUGCUGAUGUGUCUAAUGAACUGCCAGGGCUGAAGUGGAUGCCUGGAAUCACACAGUGGAAGGUAAUGACGAAAGAUGGGCAGUGGUUUACAGACUGGGACGCUGUUCCUCACAGCAGACACACCCAGAUCCGACCCACCAUGUUCCCUCCGAAGGACCCAGAAAAGCUGCAGGCCAUGCACCUGGAGCGAUGCCUUAGGAUAUUACCCCAUCAUCAGAAUACUGGAGGGUUUUUUGUGGCAGUAUUGGUGAAAAAAUCUUCAAUGCCGUGGAAUAAACGUCAGCCAAAGCUUCAGGGGAAAUCUGCAGAGACCAGAGAAAGCACACAGCUGAGCCCUGCAGAUCCCACAGAAGCGAAACCCACAGAUCCCUCUAAGCUGGAAAGUCCGUCAUUCACAGGAACUGGUGACACAGAAAUAGCUCAUGCAACUGAGGAUUUAGAGAAUAAUGGCAGUAAGAAAGAUGGCGUGUGUGGUCCUCCUCCAUCAAAGAAAAUGAAGUUAUUUGGAUUUAAAGAAGACCCAUUUGUAUUUAUUCCUGAAGAUGACCCAUUAUUUCCACCUAUUGAGAAAUUUUAUGCUUUGGAUCCUUCAUUCCCAAGGAUGAAUUUGUUAACUCGGACUACAGAAGGGAAGAAAAGGCAGCUCUACAUGGUUUCUAAGGAGUUGCGGAAUGUGCUGCUGAAUAACAGCGAGAAGAUGAAGGUUAUUAACACGGGGAUCAAAGUCUGGUGUAGAAAUAACAGCGGUGAAGAGUUUGACUGUGCUUUCCGGCUGGCACAGGAGGGAAUAUAUACAUUGUAUCCAUUUAUAAACUCAAGAAUUAUUACUGUAUCAAUGGAAGAUGUUAAGAUUCUGUUGACCCAGGAAAAUCCCUUUUUUAGAAAACUCAGCAGUGAGACCUACAGUCAAGCCAAGGACCUGGCAAAGGGAAGCAUCGUGCUGAAGUAUGAACCAGAUUCUGCGAAUCCAGACGCUCUGCAGUGUCCCAUCGUCUUAUGCGGAUGGCGGGGAAAGGCCUCCAUUCGAACUUUUGUGCCCAAGAAUGAACGGCUUCAUUAUCUCAGGAUGAUGGGGCUGGAGGUAUUGGGAGAAAAGAAGAAGGAAGGGGUUAUCCUCACAAAUGAGAGUGCAGCCAGCACCGGACAGCCAGACAAUGAGGUGACUGAGGGACAGAGAGCAGGAGAGCCCAACAGCCCGGACGCAGAAGAGGCCAACAGUCCAGACGUGACAGCAGGCUGUGACCCGGCGGGGGUCCACCCACCCCGGUGAGCAGGCCCAAGGCAGCGGGGGCCCACACCCCUCACACGCAAAACUGGCUUCUUCUGGUCACUGGUGUCUGAAACCAAAUCCAGAGCAGCCUGUGGCCUGUAAAGCAUAUAUUUCUAACGACUGCAGACUGGUGGGAUCAUAGGAGCCUUCUGAAUGACCAGGACUGCUUUCUUUGGAGCUGAUGAAAACGUACUCUUUUAGCGUGUUAGAAAUCACUCGUUUUAUUUUGUUUCUUUGGCCAAGCUAGGUCUAGUGUUUCUUUUGCUGGGAAUAGACUUUCAAAAGUUGUACUUCUAUCAAGAAACAAAACUGCCCUUGCAGAAAUUUCAGGUCUUUUGUUAAGCCUGUAUUGGUCUUAAGGUCCAGUAUUUUUUAAAUUAUUAUUUAUAGAAAGAAUCUAUAAAUUCUUGGGGAAGUGUGUUAUAAGCUUUAAUAAUUACAUUGAGUUGCACCUCAGUGGUGUGACAUUAACAUGCAGUGGGGUUAAUAUCUGAGGCCUCAGAUGACUUUGUGCCUUUUGGAAUAAAGGGUAAAAUAAACUCUCCCAGAGUAAGAGCUGUAUCGUGAAUUGUCAUACUAAUUAUUGAGGGGGACUUAUGUGCUUUUAUUGAAUGGAGUGCUUUACAAUUUUUAUUUUUAAAUGGGGUUGGGAUCCUUGGAAUAUUUCAAUAAAAUUGAUAAAAUA